AAUGAAAAUUUUAUUAAUAAUUUAAUUUUAAAAUUAUUUUUAAUUAAAAUAUUAUUAAUUUAUUAAUAUUUAAGUAUAUACAAGAAAAAAUUAUAAAUAAUUAUAGUUUAUUAGUAAUGAAAAUGAAUUAAUUUAAUUAAAUUAAAGAAUUUUUUAUUAAAAGUACCUUUUGUAUCAGGGUUUAUUUAAUUGAUAAUUAUGAUUUAAUUAUUUUCGAAUUUAAAAGAUUUAAUUUAUUAUUUUUAAUAUUGUUGUAUAAAUAUAUAUAAUAAUAAGUUAGUAAUUAAAUGUUAAUCGUUUUUAAAUAUAUCUAGUUUUUUUAGAAAAAAAUUUAAUUUUAUUAUAAAUUAUUAUUUAAAUUUAAAUUUAAAUUUAGAUAUUUAUUUAUAAAAAAAUUUUUAGGGAUAAGCUUAAAAAUUGAAUUAUAUUAAUAUUUUUAAAUUAAAUAAAUUUAUGAUUAGAAAUUUCAAUAAUAUAAAUAAUUUUAUAAUUUAUAAAUAUAAAUUUUAAUUUUUAUUUAAUUAGUUAAUAAAUAAAAAUAUUUAAUUUAAUUAAUAAAUUAAAUUAUUAAUGAUAAAAUUAGUAUAUUUUAAAAUAUAAUAUAAUUUUAAAAAAUUUAAAAUUUAAAAUAAGGAAUUCGGCAAAAUUAAUUGCUCGCCUGUUUAUCAAAAACAUGGUUUUUUGUUUAUAAUUUAAAAUUUAAUCUGCCCACUGAUUAAUUAAAGGGCCGCAGUAUAUUGACUGUGCAAAGGUAGCAUAAUCAUUUGUUUCUUAAUUGUUGACUUGUAUGAAUGAUUGGACGAGGUAAUUACUGUCUCAUUUUUAUUUAAAAUAAAAUUUUAUUUUUAAGUUAAAAAGCUUAAAUAAUAUUUAAGGACGAGAAGACCCUAUAGAGUUUAAUUAAUUUAGUAAAAAUUUUUAUUUUUGUAUUUAAAUUAUUUUUAUAAAUAUUAAUUUAAUUGGGGUGAUUAAAAAAUUUAAUAAACUUUUUAAAAUAUUAUUCAAAAAAUUUUGUUUAAAUUUGAUCUAGAAUUUUUGAUUAUUUGAAUAAAUUACCUUAGGGAUAACAGCGUUAUUAUUUUGGAAAGUUCAUAUUUAUAAAAUAGUUUGCGACCUCGAUGUUGAAUUAAGAUAAAUUUUUGGUGCAGCAAUUGAAAUUUUUAGUCUGUUCGACUAUUAAAUUCUUACAUGAUUUGAGUUCAAACCGGUGUGAGCCAGGUUGGUUUCUAUCCUAAAUUAUAUAAAAUAUUUUAGUACGAAAGGACCAUAUAUUUAAUUAAAAAUUUAAUUAUGAA
rnacentral:rRNA from 1 species